GCCCCCAUCGUCUAGCGGCCUAGGACAUCGCCCUCUCACGGCGAAGACACCGGUUCAAAUCCGGUUGGGGGUGCCA
rnacentral:tRNA from 2 species